UACGGAGGGGGCAAGCGUUGUUCGGAGUUACUGGGCGUAAAGCGCGCGUAGGCGGUGCGGUAAGUCAGGGGUUAAAGGCUGCAGCUCAACUGCAGUAAGGCCUUUGAUACUAUCGUGCUAGAGUGCCGGAGAGGGUAGCGGAAUUCCCUGUGUAGCGGUGAAAUGCGUAGAUAUCGGGAGGAACACCAGUAGCGAAGGCGGCCAUCUGGCUGGUAACUGACGCUGAGGUGCGAGAGCGUGGGGAGCAAACAGG
rnacentral:rRNA from 1 species